rnacentral:lncRNA from 1 species
CUGCCUAGCAAGGACAAAAUAGACUGGACAAGUUCAGGAGCUAGCCCUUCGGACCAUUCCAUCCUCCAAGAAGUGUCUCGUGUGGGGGCGGGGUAAAGCAUUAACUGUGUGCCCCAAUCAGGCUGGGGCCUAGGUCACCCAAGCGGGAGGGGCAGGAGUCACCAGGCAGAGAGGCAAGAGCUUACUUACCACUUCUUGAUCAAUAAAUACCCUGGCUUUCUGCAGAGCCAAGGGAACCAUGCCAAGCCUCGGUCACCCUGAAAGCAGGCUCUCAUGAUGUGAUCGGAGGAUAGCAAAAUCUGCCUAGACCUUUGAUACCUGGCCAGAUGAUGCCUCCAUUGACAGUGGCUGCUUAUAGAGCUCAGGAAGGAAACGAGGAGGGGUGGGUGAGAUAGAUAGAUAGAUAGAUAGAUAGAUAGAUAGAUAGAUAGAUAGAUAGAUAGGUGAUAGGGCAAUCGAUCAGUCAGUACAGGCUCUGUAGCGGCACAUAAUUCCCACUUGCAACGGAAACCCCUGGAUUGCAGACUGCUGACUUUUAGCAUCGUCUUGAAGUGGGGAGAGAGAUAGCAAUCUCUGGUGCCCUUGUGAGGGCAGUAAUGCCAUGAUGGGACCUUUAUCUUCAUAACCUUAUCUAAGCCCAGUCAUGUCUCAGCGACCUCUAUCCAGAUGCUCUUUGUGUUAGGCAUUGGGACUGAUUUGCAAGGAGAGAUGGAGUUCAAUUCCUAGCACACAGCCUGUUAUAAAGGAGGCAGUGGGCUGACAACAUUGGUGCCUAUGGAAAAGGUGGCCCUCGGACAGUUGGUCCCCCUGGGGUGGUCCAAGAUGAGUGUGUAGUGGUCAGUGGACUGAAGGAACUGGCCAAAUUGGGGUGAUAUGAGUCAGGGUGGAAAGGGGGGGGUCCACUGAGCUCUGGGAUGACAUCUUGGGCCUCUGAGAGCAGGCAAGAGGAAGGAAGGGCUAACCCCUAGUUGAGGCACGGCUGGACCAUUCGGCUGUAGGGGACAGCGAGAGGCUGGCUGCCAUCCAUACCCUUCCUGUCUCCUACCAUCGACUUCUAGCCUCGAAACAUUGUGUCUCUUUGUUAGACUUGGGGACCCUGUUCAUUGUGUGCCCUUGGGUCUCAGGCGUGAUGGGAGCCUAUCAUUCCAUCUGAAGCUCAAGGCAGAGUCAGGUCCUCACAACUGUCAGAAUUGAAAUGGAGCCCGGUGUCCUCAUUCUGCUACCUGCCGCCUCACGUGCCACCGUCCUCCUCAGCCCUCCGUUUCCUCUGUCCUCGUUCCCUAUGUGGCUGAGCUAUGGAAUAAAUGAGACCAAGAUGUUCACUUAGGGUCCCUUGGCUUCUUCUGGAGUAGGGAGCGAAUGCCAGUGCAGGAGGGAGUGUCUGAAGAGCGCCUCUGUUGCCAUCUGUCAGCCACAGCUGUGCAGGCAGCCUGAUUUGGAGACAGCCUGCUCUGAAGGACAGGAGGCUCUAGAAGGGACUGUGGCAGGUCGAUAGAGGGCCUCCAUCGUUGUAGCUGUCAUCAUGGUGAGCUUGAGGUGAGCUGAACCCAUGUGGGUUCCUGUCAGGGCAGCAUCCAUAUCUGCGAUGUUUUCCUCAGUACCCCUUUCUGUGAUUCUGAGACUGCAGGGUGUGGCAAGCCAGCAUUCUGCUCCCACACACCUUUUACCUAAUUCCACCUCCUUCUGGAUGGGUAAUAUCCAGGGCUUCCCAUCUCCACACCGGCCGGGCCCUCAGAUGCUACUGGUUGUGGGUGCCAGGAGAGCAUGUUUUAGAUGGGAGACCACAAUGUUCCACGGCUACUGUCCUUCUCUACAGAGCAGGCACCAACAGACCAAUGGCCUCCGUUGAUUCACCGCUCAUAUUUUGAUUGUUUUGAGACAGGUUCUCCCUGUGUCACCCAGAUUGUCCCAGAACUUGCCAGCCCUCCUGUUGCUACCUCUCAGGUACUAAGAUUGAACAGUACUGCUCUAGUCAGCCUUCUUCGAUAUACAUAAAACUAUAAAAAUGGGAAAACUGAUGUGUUCUAUCAGAUAUUUUCCCUAAUGCACAAAUAAUUCAUAACUCUUC